CUGCAGUGGCUCCAGGCAGUUCUAUCCAGAACACCCUGAGAUCCUUUCGGAGGACCUGAGGGCAUUGGGCUGCCCUGAUGGACGAGCUGCCCGGGAGAGGGUCAACUGGGAAGCCAAGGACACAUUCUGCUUUGCCCUGGGCAUAUGUGGAUUCUUCCCACAGCCAGAUUUCCAGGAAUGUUUGGGGCAGGAAAUUCUAUCCCAGUUGAAGAGUGCCCGUGCAUCCCUGGGGCACCCCACAGGCGACUGACAGAAUGGACCAGACACAUGGGCGUCUGUCUCAGACAGGGUGUUCCAUACUCAGAACCAGGUCUUAGGAGUAGACACAGCACCCGAUGGACGGGGCCUGCCCCUGAGAACAGCCAGAAGCUGCGACCUCCGAGGGUUUCUUCCUGCUGGUCUCUGAGGAGUUAAGAGGCGGUGGGGCCGAUGAAAGAGUAAAGUUACUGGGUCUGCCCACACCUGGGGACACCUGGACAGGAGCCCAGGACUUCCUAGUGGUGGAUUGGGGAACU
rnacentral:lncRNA from 1 species